UGAAGUAGUCUCGCUACUAGAUAUACAAAUUCAUGCAAGUAUUAAUAGCAACCAUGCCUAUUAAAUUAGUAUGGGAUGGGAUAGGCAUUAGUUUUUACUACAAUUAAAGUGAGUUUCAGAAUUUUGCUAAAUAACGUGGAAGAUAUAGUAAAUGAGACGAGUAGCAGUUUAAAGGGACGUCAGCCAAAGAACCAAGGGGACGAAACAAG
rnacentral:lncRNA from 1 species